UGGACCGUCUUGUUUCAGCCACCGCGCCUCACAAUCCUUUCCUCCCUGCCGCCGCGGAUGGCCGACGUGCUCGGCUCCCCCAUUCCGGCGGCACUUUUCCGAUGCCUCCUCCAGCGUGUGGCCAACGAACUAACUCUAGCCGACACCUCGCGACCUACCACCGGCCUACAACACAUGUGACUUGCCGCCUGCACCGGCAACUCGACGCGGCCGGGAGGUGCGCAAGCUGUUCGGUCUUUUGACCCAACAGAAAUCAUAUCAAAAUUCGGGUGUCGGAGAAGUUGGCCGGACGCUCACAAGUCACAAGGCCGAGCUAAUGCACGCCCCCCAUGAGGCCAUGCCCGUGUCUUGAAGCUCGAGAUUGCCAGAGAGCUCGCUGGCCGUUGCAUGGAGGUCUGGAGGGACUUGGCCCUUGCACUCGACAUGUUCCCUUGCGACAUCGAGCAGCAGCUCGCUCAGGCAGUUCAUGAGUAGAAGGUAUUGGAAGCCUUGUCUUCCUCCACAGAACCGGUAGAUCUUCUAUAUAAGAUGGAUAUUGCCGCUUGUGAUCAUUCUAGAGUGGUCACUUCACCAUCAAGUUCAUCAGAAUCAGAUCAUGUACUGAAGUAUGUGCCAUCAAUCCGUGAACGGCUAAAGGACUGGGAGUGGUGGCUAGAUAUUUGCACCCAAGCACCCCGGUUGGGGGGAAGAGCAAGUUGGGGGAGGUCACAUUCAAAGGUGACUGGAUGAAGAGGCGCGCCCAUGUUGAUCUUGGAGACCAAAGUGGCCCGGCUCGUGGCGCGAGGAUCCUGAUCCACCUCUCUGACCGGCUGAAGGACUUGGCUGCGACGGUGCUGCUGAUGAUAGCGCCGCCACCAGCCCGAUGUACAUAUCAAGUUAGACUGGAACGAGCUGACGGCGAUCUGGGGGCCGAUGGUCGCCGUGAGGACGGCCCCCGAGGGCCGAGGGCGCACAGGGUGAAGGAAGGUCAACCUGAGAGUUUUUGCUUGGAAGAAGCUUGCUACCAAGAGGCCGAGAAAGAGGACCACGGCACUACCAGGAUACACACUACGUUUGUAUGUUGCUUGUCCAGGAUAUGAUACACACUAUGACUAUGACUUGGAUGGAUGGGUCAAACCAAAGGGCGAAUAUUAUGCUCCAGUCUAGCGCGUGAUGACGAGCAGAGCAGAGCAUGCAGUCCGCAGGUUCCCACUCACUCACAGACAUGACGAGACCCACCUACGCGCUCCUCCUUCACACCGUCGCGCUGCUCCU